rnacentral:rRNA from 1 species
GACGAACGCUGGCGGCGUGCUUAACACAUGCAAGUCGAACGAAGUGGCGAACGGGUGAGUAACGCGUAAUCAACCUGCCCUUCAGAGGGGGACAACAGUUGGAAACGACUGCUAAUACCGCAUACUGAAGGAGGGGAUUGCGUCUUAUUUGCUAGUUGGAGGGGUAACGGCCCCCCAAGGCGAUGAUCAGUAGCCGGUCUGAGGGGAUGGACGGCCCACAUGGGACUGAGACACGGCCCAGACUCCUACGGGAGGCAGCAGGGGGGAAUUUUCCGCAAUGGACGAAAGUCUGACGGAGGAACGCCGGGUGGGUGAUGACGGCCUUCGGGUUGGAAAGCUCUGUUAAUCGGGACGCGGUACCGGAAUAGAAAGCCACGGCUAACUACGUGCCAGCAGCCGCGGUAAUUC